rnacentral:sRNA from 12 species
GGCCUAAACUUUACGAGCUACUUGUAAGGCAUGGUCAAAAAUACGCUACGAACAUAAAGAACCCAUCAUCAGGGCGUUCGUAGCGUUAUACGGGGAAACCCGUAUAGGGGUCGCAAGACCCU